CGAAUUUCAGAAUCGCUUGUUCUGGGCUGGAGGGCGCCAUACCCCCUUCUGAAUGGAACGGGACAGGGGCCCAGGCCUUUGACAGCGGCGGAGCUCAUCACCGUUCCAAGCAGGGCCGUGUCACUGGACAGAGCCAUGACCGCGGCAUGGGGUGCGGCGAGCAUCUUCAUCUCUGUAAAUGGGUAAUGUAACUCUCAUUUUAUGGCUGAGAACCAGAGCGGCCAAGCCAUUUCUCCUGAGGUGCGCGGUGCCGAGGCAGGUGGUAGGUCCCUGUGUGCACGGUGGAUGUCACCGGUGUCUAGGGUACAGCGGCACUCGAGGUCCGCCUAGCCAGCAGGGGGGAGCUGGGAGAAGCCACGGAGAUUUUAAACCGACACGUGCGAUAAAAAUAAGAAACAAAGGCCACUUUGAGAUUUUAUAAAACAUGUGAACAUGGGUCCUUGCCGCUCGCACCGUCGUCAUCACAUCCUUGAGAGCGAAGGAGGUUCUCACAUUUCCAUUUUACAGAAAACCAAACAAAAACUUUGAGAGCCUUCUAGCAUGCCCUGGGCUCCACAGCCGUCACAGAAUAACACUGGGGACCCAGUCCACCUAUUCUGGGGCCAAAUCCCACAUCAGUGUCAGUGUGCGUCAGUUCCGCGGGCAGCGCUGCGCCCCGAGAGUCCGCUCUCAGCUCGCACCCCUCGCUCCCGGAAGGUAUUAGAAACUCACAAGACUUCUUCCGGCUCCGCCCCACGCACCGCGGCUGCCCUCCCGCGAGACUGGUUACCUUCACGUCAGCAGCGCCUUGUCUGAAGACCUCACAGAUGGCAGCUGGAGGACGUGCACACAAGGGCCGGAGAGUUGUCAGCGUCUCUGAGUAGGAUUCCCGUGCCGAGUGAGAUGAGGACCCGGGUUACUUCCACACGGUGAUUGUCAAACACGGGCGUGUGGCAGAACCACCUGAGACGACGUCAACGACGCAGGCUGCCUGGCUCCGUCACCAGACAUUCUGCCUCAUGAGGGUUUCCGCUUCUUCAGUUACCGCCUCACCUGCUUCCUCAGUCCCUCUUCGCAGAAGCUCCUUCCCCUGCGCAGACGUUCAGUGGACCUCCCUUCUUCAAGAGCAAAAACACGUAGGUGAAUGUGCUCUCUCACCCUCGCUCUUCCCUCGCUGCACCACUAGUCCUGGCGAGGCCAUCACAACCACCCGUCGUGGGCGCCUGAGCAGUCGGGUUUCUGUUUCAGGGUUCUGUUGCGCCCACCUUCUCAGAAGCCACCUCAGGCCUUGCAGUCACCACCGUCUGGUGGCUUUCCCGCGGCUCCUUUCUGCCAGCGGCUGUGCCGCCCUUGACUCUGCGGACCACGCCGUCCUUCACAGUCCCAGCUCCCUCCAGGGCUGCGACAUGGCACUUCGUGCUCCCCUGCCUCCUGCCGCUCCUCACCUCCUCCUGUGCUAACCCGGCACUCCUGCACCCCUUGCCCUCUCCUCCUGUUCCUGAGCCCGCUUCCCUGGGCUGCAUCCACCCCCCACACCACGACUUCAACGAUGACCUCCCUCUGCAUCUCUGUUUCCACUCCGGGCCCCCUGAUGCCUCUCUCUGCAUCUCCAACUCUGUCUGGGGGCUCAAGUGGCAGAGUCAAGCCAGG
ensembl:lncRNA